CACGUAGUUAGCCGGAGCUUCCUCCUCUGCUACCGUCAUCAUCUUCACAGAGGACAGAGGUUUACAAUCCGAAAACCGUCUUCCCUCACGCGGCGUUGCUGGUUCAGGGUUUCCCCCAUUGACCAAUAUCCCUUACUGCUGCCUCCCGUAGGAGUCUGGGCCGUGUCUCAGUCCCAAUGUCGCCGUCCAACCUCUCAGUCCGGCUACCGAUCGUCGGCUUGGUGGGCCGUUACCCCACCAACUACCUAAUCGGACGCGAGCCCAUCUUUCAGCGGAUUGCUCCUUUGAUUAUCCUACCAUGCGAUAAGAUAAUGUCAUGCGGUAUUAGCGUUCGUUUCCAAACGUUAUCCCCCUCUGAAAGGCAGGUUGCUCACGCGUUACUCACCCGUCCGCCACUAAGAUAUCCAAGAUUCAUUACCGAAGUACUUCAUCAGCGAAUAUCUACGUUCGACUUGCAUGUAUUAGGCACGCCGCAGCGUUCGUCUGACGCCAGGACUACAAACUACUCUACG
rnacentral:rRNA from 1 species